rnacentral:rRNA from 1 species
UACGUAGGGGGCGAGCGUUGUCCGGAUUUAUUGGGCGUAAAGAGCUCGUAGGCGGCAAGGUAUGUCGUGCGUGAAAUCUCCCGGCUUAACUGGGAGGGGCCGUGCGAAACUGCCUGGCUUGAGGUCGGAAGGGGAAAGUGGAAUUCCGGGGUGUAGUGGUGGAAUACGUAGAUAUCCGGAGGAACACCAGCGGCGAAGGCGGCUUUCUGGUCCGAUUCUGACGCUGAGGCGCGAAAGCGUGGGGAGCGAUCCGG